UAUUACAGCUCAACUUCAGUUUCAUAUUUUGGUUUUUUGUUGACUAACUGAGUGGCCUAGAAAAUUCAAUCUUGUUUCAAUUUUCUUCGAUUGACUGUAGACACUCAUGGAAUUUAAACAACCUUCGUUUGGAUAUAAAUAAGCGUAUCAUAUCAAAGAGGUGUAAAGGGAAAGAAAGAUGGCAAAUCAAGAUGUUCUGAGUGUGAGACUUAUGUUCUUCCUUGUAGUGGUUCUUUUGGUCACGCUCUAUGCUCUUGCUUCUCAACCCGAACAGAGAAGAAAGCUAAUUCCAACACCCCCGUCAUGCAGUCUACAUGGUGGUAGUGGCAUAAUUUGUGGUCCGCCUGCAGUGAAUUGAGAUCUUUCCUCAAGAUUUCGUAAAUGAUGGCUUCAUUUCUCCCAAUACUCGAAAUCUUCAUCAAGAAUAUAGUAUUGGUUCUACGAUAUGAUAGUAUGUGUUCAUGAUUAUACUAUUUAUAAACAUAUCUAAGAUAAUCUUUGGGAUAAUUGCCAAGUUUUAUUACAAUUUCAGUAGCUGUAAGAGCAUGUUAAUAUUUGCAAUAAUUGUAAAUUUUUGUUAUAAUUUCAAUAGCUGUAAGAGCAUCAGCGGCAAUAUGUAUUUAUAUUUGUUUUAAUAAAAAGUAUUGUGUAUAAGUA